AAAUGUUCUGAGUCACACGCGCGC
rnacentral:siRNA from 1 species